GAUCCUGGCUCAGAUUGAACGCUGGCGGCAUGCCUUACACAUGCAAGUCGAACGGCAGCGCGUCCUUCGGGAUGGCGGCGAGUGGCGAACGGGUGAGUAAAGCAUCGGAACGUGCCCGGUAGUGCGGGAUAGCUCGGCGAAAGCCGGAUUAAUACCGCAUGAGAUCCGUGGAUGAAAGCAGGGGACCUGAAAGGGCCUUGCGCUACUGGAGCGGCCGAUGUCAGAUUAGGUAGUUGGUGAGGUAAAGGCUCACCAAGCCUGCGAUCUGUAGCUGGUCUGAGAGGAUGAUCAGCCACAUCGGGACUGAGACACGGCCCGAACUCCUACGGGAGGCAGCAGUGGGGAAUUUUGGACAAUGGGCGCAAGCCUGAUCCAGCCAUGCCGCGUGCAGGAUGAAGGCCCUCGGGUUGUAAACUGCUUUUGUACGGAACGAAAAGCCUCUCUCGAAUAAGGAGGGGUGAUGACGGUACCGUAAGAAUAAGCACCGGCUAACUACGUGCCAGCAGCCGCGGUAAUACGUAGGGUGCGAGCGUUAAUCGGAAUUACUGGGCGUAAAGCGUGCGCAGGCGGUCUUGCAAGACAGUGGUGAAAUCCCCGGGCUCAACCUGGGAACGGCCAUUGUGACUGCAAGGCUGGAGUACGGCAGAGGGGGGUGGAAUUCCGCGUGUAGCAGUGAAAUGCGUAGAUAUGCGGAGGAACACCGAUGGCGAAGGCAGCCCCCUGGGCCUGUACUACGCUCU
rnacentral:rRNA from 1 species